GUGAGUCCCUGGGAUGGAACCUGCACUCGCUGCUUGACCCAUGGCUGGGUUCCUGGACAAGUCACCUGAUCUUGUGGAACCCAAGUUUCUCCACCUCUAAAUGGAACACACUAAAUUGUUAUGAGUGAGCAUCAGAGGAAAUCAAGAGUGUGUGAUUUAGCUCUGCAUGCAACGGGCUCUGUAGAUAAUUUUCAUUGCAGUUAUUUUGACUUCACUUUGGUGAGUCGACUACCCCAGGUUUUGAAAUGAACACAGGGAGGCAGAAUACGUGUUGUAAUCCCAGGCUACAGUUCUGGAGCCUUUAUUGAAGGAGAAGACAUUUUUUAUUUGUAAGAAUGAAAAACGGAAGGCGGGGAGCCUAUGUGGCAUGGAAUUCAAGAAAUGGAGCAACUGGCCACUGGCGAUGGGAAGGCCCAUGGCAGAUUCUGCAAAUCUCUCUGGAGUUUCUGCUUGAGUUCCUGUUCGCCGCUGUGAGCCCCUCACUCUUUCGUUGCUGAGACACCUUCACCAUGGCUCAGGAGGCCACAUGCUAUUCCUCAGGUGGCGGAGGGCAGAGACCGAGGGAGUCGGUAAAAAGGAGAGGGCUGGAAAAUUCCUCUUAGCAUAAGAAUAAACAGUGAUUUGAAUAUUCAGUUGUGAGGGUUAUAAAUAACUGUGAGUUUUCAUUGACGUGUAAGCGGUGAUACAUUUUGUACAAUAAUUAGUUAUUUGAUUACUUUUGUUUUAGCCUGAAGUAGAGGACAAUUGACAAAUGUGAAUACCUCUGAGACUGAUGGGGCGCAGUAAACUAACUUUAUUUAUUACAAAAUGCAAUUUUAUUAAUAUGAAUUGACAGUAAUUAAUUUGCUGGUGUUGAUGUUGUUAAUAAUUGCAUGUAAUUUAUGAAAUAUUCAUGCUAGAGCAGAAUAAAAUAAUGCACGGGUCCUCUGGCUUGUUUGUUAAGUCUGUGAAUAUUUCAACAAAGCCUUUCUAAUUCAAUGUAUUCAUAGUACAGUGGUUUAAAAUCCCACAAAAUUACCAAAAAUAUUUUAAUUUCUUAUUUGAGUGUUUCUUAACUCAACUUCCAGGCAUGUCCAGG
rnacentral:lncRNA from 1 species